CUCUCUCAGGUGAUGGUCUCUCUCAGGUGAUGGUCUCUCUCAGGUGAUGGUCUCUCUCAGGUGAUGGUCUCUCUCUCAGGUGAUGGUCUCUCUCAGGUGAUGGUCUCUCUCAGGUGAUGGUCUCUCUCAGGUGAUGGUCUCUCUCAGGUGAUGGUCUCUCUCAGGUGAUGGUCUCUCUCAGGUGAUGGUCUCUCUCAGGUGAUGGUCUCUCUCAGGUGAUGGUCUCUCUCUCAGGUGAUGGUCUCUCUCAGGUGAUGGUCUCUCUCAGGUGAUGGUCUCUCUCAGGUGAUGGUCUCUCUCAGGUGAUGGUCUCUCUCAGGUGAUGGUCUCUCUCAGGUGAUGGUCUCUCUCAGGUGAUGGUCUCUCUCUCAGGUGAUGGUCUCUCUCAGGUGAUGGUCUCUCUCAGGUGAUGGUCUCUCUCAGGUGAUGGUCUCUCUCAGGUGAUGGUCUCUCUCAGGUGAUGGUCUCUCUCAGGUGAUGGUCUCUCUCUCAGGUGAUGGUCUCUCUCAGGUGAUGGUCUCUCUCUCAGGUGAUGGUCUCUCUCUCAGGUGAUGGUCUCUCUCAGGUGAUGGUCUCUCUCAGGUGAUGGUCUCUCUCUCAGGUGAUGGUCUCUCUCAGGUGAUGGUCUCUCUCAGGUGAUGGUCUCUCUCUCAGGUGAUGGUCUCUCUCAGGUGAUGGUCUCUCUCUCAGGUGAUGGUCUCUCUCAGGUGAUGGUCUCUCUCAG